rnacentral:rRNA from 1 species
CCUACGGGAGGCAGCAGUGAGGAAUAUUGGUCAAUGGACGAGAGUCUGAACCAGCCAAGUAGCGUGAAGGAUGACUGCCCUAUGGGUUGUAAACUUCUGUUAUAGGGGAAUAAAACGGUCCACGUGUGGGAUUUUGUAUGUACCAUAUGAAUAAGGAUCGGCUAACUCCGUGCCAGCAGCCGCGGUAAUACGGAGGAUCCGAGCGUUAUCCGGAGUUAAUGGGGUUCAAGGGAGCGUAGGUGGAUUGUUAAGUCAGUUGUGAAAGUUUGCGGCGCAACCGUAAAAUUGCAGUUGAAACGGGCAGUCUUGCGUACAGUAUAGGUGGGCUGCCUUCGUUGUGUAGCGGU